rnacentral:tRNA from 1 species
AGGCACUUAGGUUAACCAAAACCAGGAGCCUUCAAAGCUCCAWAUAGAAGCAAAUCUCCUAGUGCCUG